UACGGAGGGUGCGAGCGUUAAUCGGAAUUACUGGGCGUAAAGGGUGCGUAGGUGGUUAAUUAAGUUAUUUGUGAAAUACCUGGGCUUAACCUGGGCAGGACGGAUGAGACUGAUUAACUCGAGUAUGGGAGAGGGUAGUGGAAUUUCCGGUGUAGCGGUGAAAUGCGUAGAGAUCGGAAGGAACACCGGUGGCGAAGGCGGCAUCCUGGACCAACACUGACACUGAGGAGCGAAAGCCAGGGGAGCAAACGGG
rnacentral:rRNA from 1 species